CGCUGUCUGAUUCUCCACGCUGAGCUCUUAUCAGCACGCCUGGGCCGAGGACCGGGGCGGGGGGCCAAGGCGACGCACCACCUGCCACACGUUCACCAGAGGGGACAGAUUCGUUCAGUCAAGGUCUCAGAUACUGUGAGGACCCUUACCUUCAUUUGGAGACCAGAAUCACUAGGAUUUAUUCUGAUUUUUGGUCUGCCAUAAGACAGAAGCCAGGCAGCACACUUGGUUGUCUUCCUUCCUUCUUCAAACUGAUGCAGCCUGAAAUGAAGAGCAACAGGAUCAAGCUCCCUCGGUGAGAUACUGAUGCUGCCCUGUCACUGUGGUGCGGAAACCCUCUGCUCAGGCCUGUCCAGUUUCACAUGGUCUUAUAUAACAGACCUGAGAGGAUGGACAACAAGAUACCAGGAGCAAUAGGG